GAUGAACGCUGGCGGCGUGCUUAACACAUGCAAGUCGAGCGAGUGAGUUCUUCGGAACGAUCUAGCGGCGGACGGGUGAGUAACACGUGGGCAACCUGCCUCAUAGAGGGGAAUAGCCUCCCGAAAGGGAGAUUAAUACCGCAUAAAAUUAUCGAGUGGCAUCACACGAUCAUCAAAGGAGUAAUCCGCUAUGAGAUGGGGCCGCGGCGCAUUAGCUAGGUGGUGAGGUAACGGCUGACCAAGGCGACGGUGCGGAGCCGACCCGGGGGGGUGAUCGGGCACAUUGGGACCUGGGCCAGGCCCAGGCUCCUAAGGGAGGCAGCAGUGGGGAAUAUUGCACAAUGGGGGAAACCCUGAUGCAGCAACGCCGCGUGAGUGAUGAAGGUCUUCGGAUUGUAAAGCUCUGUCUUUGGGGACGAUAAUGACGGUACCCAAGGAGGAAGCCACGGCUAACUACGUGCCAGCAGCCGCAGUAA
rnacentral:rRNA from 1 species